rnacentral:rRNA from 1 species
CAAAGUAGCUGACUGCACGAAGUCUGAUGCAGCAACGCCGCGUGAGUGAUGAAGGCCCUUGGGUUGUAAAGCUCUUUCACUAGGGAAGAAAGGAUCUGUACCUACUUGGAGUGGCCCGGACCGGUUCAUGCCAGCCCCCCACCCGCUAAUUUAUUGCCACCGGCCCUAGUAUAA